GACAGAGGGUGCAAACGUUGUUCGGAUUUACUGGGCGUAAAGCGCGUGUAAGCGGCCUUGCAAGUCGGAUGUGAAAGCCCACGGCUCAACCGUGGAAGUGCAUCCGAAACUGCAUAGCUUGAGUCUCGGAGAGGAAGGUGGAAUGCUUGGUGUAGAGGUGAAAUUCGUAGAUAUCAAGCAGAACACCUGCGGCGAAGGCGGCCUUCUGGACGAUGACUGACGCUGAGACGCGAAAGCGUGGGGAGCAAACAGG
rnacentral:rRNA from 1 species